AACGAACGCUGGCGGCAGGCCUAACACAUGCAAGUCGAGCGAGGACUUCGGUUCUAGCGGCGGACGGGUGAGUAACGCGUGGGAAUGUGCCCUUCUCUACGGAAUAGCCCUGGGAAACUGGGAGUAAUACCGUAUACGCCCUAUUGGGGAAAGAUUUAUCGGAGAAGGAUCAGCCCGCGUUGGAUUAGGUAGUUGGUGGGGUAAUGGCCUACCAAGCCGACGAUCCAUAGCUGGUUUGAGAGGAUGAUCAGCCACACUGGGACUGAGACACGGCCCAGACUCCUACGGGAGGCAGCAGUGCGGAAUCUUAGACAAUCGGGGCAACCCUGAUCUAGCCCUGCCGCGUGAGUGAUGAAGGCCUUAGGGUUGUAAAGCUCUUUCAGCUGGGAAGAUAAUGACGGUACCAGCAGAAGAAGCCCCGGCUAACUACGUG
rnacentral:rRNA from 1 species